CGGGAAUUCGAUUCAGGCCUAACACAUGCAAGUCGAGCGGUAGAGAGAAGCUUGCUUCUCUUGAGAGCGGCGGACGGGUGAGUAAUGCCUAGGAAUCUGCCUGGUAGUGGGGGAUAACGUUCGGAAACGGACGCUAAUACCGCAUACGUCCUACGGGAGAAAGCAGGGGACCUUCGGGCCUUGCGCUAUCAGAUGAGCCUAGGUCGGAUUAGCUAGUUGGUGAGGUAAUGGCUCACCAAGGCUACGAUCCGUAACUGGUCUGAGAGGAUGAUCAGUCACACUGGAAGGGAGACACGGUCCAGACUCCUACGGGAGGCAGCAGUGGGGAAUAUUGGACAAUGGGCGAAAGCCUGG
rnacentral:rRNA from 1 species